rnacentral:rRNA from 1 species
UACGGAGGAUCCGAGCGUUAUCCGGAUUUAUUGGGUUUAAAGGGUGCGCAGGCGGGAGAUUAAGUCGGCGGUGAAAUUUUGCAGCUCAACUGUAAAAGUGCCUUCGAAACUGGUUUCCUUGAGUGUAGAUGAAGUAGGCGGAAUUUGUGGUGUAGCGGUGAAAUGCAUAGAUAUCACGAGGAACUCCGAUUGCGCCGGCAGCUUACUAAACUACUACUGACGCUCAGGCACGAAGGCGUGGGGAUCAAACAGGAUUAGAUACCCGCGUA